AAGAUGUUAAUGUAAAAUGUUCAGGUAAACAAGUAGUAUCGUUAUGAAACCAAGGUAAACAAUACCCAUAGAAUCAUUCAUUCUAUGUUGAUACUGGACUUCUACUUGGAUGGUCAUCUGGUUAUUUCGAAGCUAAUUCUAGGUCAGAUAGUGACUUUAAUUCAUUAACUACUCGUUUCUUAACAAGUGACUUUGCACUUAGUAUGAGAGAGCUUCAAGUACUAAGAUGUGGGCCUCUUCUAUCUCUGCAAAUUAAUUGACUAAUCAUUCAAGGUUCAGCAUUGAGUUCUUACUUGACUGAGAUGGUCCCUGAAUCUCAAAGAUCUGCAACACCUGCCACAAAUGCUGGGAGAAAUCUUGAUAAAGAUUAUUGCCAAUAUAGAAGUUCUGAGAUGAACAGAAACUAUGAUAGAAACUCAUUGGAGUUGCCUGACAUUUUCCUGCUUGAAGUGGAAUAGCUAAAAGAGAGGAGAUUGAGAAGUGUUUGAUUGAAAGAAAGGGUGUGAAAUAGCAGCAGAAAUUGCAAGAAAGGAGGCAGGGAGCUGGAGAAAGCCAGAUGAUGGCAACAAUGUCCAGAGGUGGUGAGAAGACCCUUGCAUUUUUGGAAGAAUUCUCUUAAUUCUAUGAGCUUCCUGUUGCACAACCAACAGCUCUCACAACCAACAGCUCUUAGGUAUUGCUACAAGCAGUAUAAAAGAGCAGCAUGGAUGAGGAUUUCAGCAGAGAACCCACAGAUCAUGGUACAAAUGUACUGGUGAAGAGCAUGACCAAGAUGCAAGCCCAUUUGGUACAACUUGUUUCAAGUGUAUAUAUUUUCUUUUACGAAGUAAAAUGAGAGAAGAAAAGAUUAUUACGUUUAAUGGAGAUCACACCUAUACUAUAAAACAAUCAUUAUUGUCUAACCUGGUGAAUCUCAUAGUGUUCUUUAAAAAGCCUUCUAUCAUUUUUUAUUUUAUUAUUUCAUUUGACAUAUUUUUAUUUAUUUCCUCCUUAGUUUAAAUAUAUUUAACAAAGAAGAGAACGUGUGAUAAAUAAGUAGGAAUAUUAUUGUAAAAUGUAACACGAUGAAGUGGCAGAGGAUAAUUAAGACUAUAGACAUGGCCUUGUUUUAAGUUAUGUAGGU